rnacentral:lncRNA from 1 species
CCAAUUUACUAAUUAAUCCAGAAAAUAUAAAAUUAAAUACUAAAUGCACAAUGAAUAUUUUUGUAUUUUUUUAAAAUUGACAAGCACAAGUAAAAUGCAAACAAUUAUCACAUAAUGACACCAAAACUGAAUUCUUAAUGUCUUCCCGGAGCCGAGAAAUAAAGAGUCGGAUCAUGAGCUUUUCAGAGAUCUCAUCAGUCUCAUUAGCAAUGGUUUCAAAUCGUCCCUGCAACUCCGAGACGGUGGUGACUUUCCGAAGUUUUGCCAAUCUCCCCUCCGCCGACUCGAGACCUUUUUGCUUAAAUCGGAUCCUCACCUUAGCAGCAAAAUGAGGCCAAUCCACCAGUUGUUUGUUUCUGAAUAACCAUCUAUACCAUUCAAGUGCUUCACCAUCAAGAUAAAAUGAAGCCAUAUGUGAGCCUCUGGUCCUCUUCGAUUUUAUAGAAAUCGAAAUAUCGCUCCGCUUGAAAUAUCCACGCCUCCGGAUUAUCACCUCGAAAAUCGACAAAACUCCACUGAUGCUGGAUUGUGACGGAGAGUGGUGGUCACUGGUGCAUGGUCCUGACGAGUUACGUCCAUGGCUGGGUGUCGAUGGGGAAGUCCUGCCGGAGCUUUGGUUGAUACCACUUCCAUCAGUAUUUCGCGAAAUUCAGCGAGGUCCUUGGCAACAGAAUUUGUCACCUUGGUGACAGACUCUUUCAUCUCCAGAAGCGAUUCUUCAACGAAGGUCUUGAGUGAUUUUUGGUCCUUCAUUUAGAGACUGCUUUCAAUGAAAGCACCAAUGUAACAACUGAAUUGUUAACGCUCAAGAAUAGGAACUGCAAGAUUGUAUUGAUUCAAUCAGUGUAUUACAAUGAAGCCUUAAGGGAAAAUUGCAAUAAAACAGUAACCAAAAGUAAGAAAACAGAGAAGGAAGAAGGGAUGGGAAACAGAGAAAAUCAGACUGAGAUGAGAGAAUAAGUAAUAGACUCAACAUAAAAACUGCCCCCUACAACAUUCAUUGAUCCUUCUUUAACACUAUCUAGUAUUCUUCUUAAGCUGCGUACUACUGCUCCUCUGCACGCUAUCAUCACCCCUUCUCCACAAUGAAAUCAGUUAGUUGUAGAACGUCACUCUCUUGCUGAUUGUGUUUGUCUACGUGCCUGGUCAAGUGACUGUCCUUGCUGGCAAGUGAGGUGUCCUCCAAGUCAGCCAUAUGGGUCACAACAAAAAAAAAACAAUACCAAAAUAACUAAUCUUAGUAUAACAUAACUCAUCCCAGCAUAAGCCGUAUCAGCUCCUAAGUGAUAAUUCUUAUAAGAAUGCUUUCAAGAAGCAUAUGAACUCAUAAUCGAAGAGCAGAAUUUCCUCUUCAUGUUAAUCAUCAAACUUUGGAGACAAGAGGGGUUGCUCUGAUGGUAAGCAACCCCCACUUCCAACCGAGAGGUUGUGANNNNNNNNNNNNNNNNNNNNNNNNNNNNNNNNNNNNNNNNNNNNNNNNNNNNNNNNNNNNNNNNNNNNNNNNNNNNNNNNNNNNNNNNNNNNNNNNNNNNNNNNNNNNNNNNNNNNNNNNNNNNNNNNNNNNNNNNNNNNNNNNNNNNNNNNNNNNNNNNNNNNNNNNNNNNNNNNNNNNNNNNNNNNNNNNNNNNNNNNNNNNNNNNNNNNNNNNNNNNNNNNNNNNNNNNNNNNNNNNNNNNNNNNNNNNNNNNNNNNNNNNNNNNNNNNNNNNNNNNNNNNNNNNNNNNNNNNNNNNNNNNNNCUCUACCCUAGAGUAGGGGUAAGGUCUGCGUACACACUACCCUCCCCAGACCCCACUAAGUGGGAUUAUACUGGGUUGUUGUUGUUGUUGUUAAUCAUCAAACUUUGGGAAUUAUUCGUUGGUCAAUCCACUAGAUUUACACCUUAGCAAAAUAGCAGCUCUUAGAAAAAAAUUUUAAAAAAUAAAAAUAACUUAGCAACCACAUCAGCAGCUCCCAGAGUACAUAUAUUAUUCAGCUAAAAGAAUUUUCUCCCUUUUUUUGGAUGAGCAAUCCUCUCAAAGAGCAAUUGGAAGGAGUACUGUCUACUUCAAAUACAACAACAACAACUACCCAGUAAAAUCCCACCAGGUGGGGUCUGGGGAGGGUAAUGUGUACGCAGACCUUACCCCUACCCGAUAGGACAGAGAGGCUGUUUCCGAUUGUCUACUCCAAAUCCCUGUUGUAAAAUUCAUGUCACUGAAAAUAUCUUGAGGCACCCAUUUUCAGUUAAGGUGAGAAAUUACAAAUGCAAAAAAUUCUAACUUUUGGAAGGAAAAAAAACAGAACUAAAUACAAGACGCAUGAAUGUGUAGUCUUCAGCAAGUUACAAUCCCAUUUUCUUCUCCACCUUCUGGAUUUGGUUAAGGAAUAUCCACGUCAUCUGCACAGAGAAUUCGAAGAGAAAAUGUCCAAAUUUAUUCGAGGCAUAAUCAAAAGUUGAGUGUUCAGUUGGAGGACACAGAGAAAACAUACCAUGACAUGAGGCGCGAUCCUAACACAAUAUACUGGAAAUCCAGUGUAGAAUUUGAAGGGCCCUCCUGAUUUCAAAGUUUUCAUGGCACAAUCAAAUGAUCCGGUGUAGGGAUAUUUUCCUUCAGCGUCUGGCUGCAUUUUCUGAAUCUGGGUUUUCACAUAAUCAAAUGGUAAACUGCAAGCAGCAGCAAAGAAUCCCGAAACACUGCUGGCUCCUGUAUUAGGUUAGAGGAAAGAACUAUUAAAUUUAGUAAAGCUAAUUCUUAACUCUGAAACUACUGGACAACUAUACAUGUGACGACCUGGUCGGUCGUCUUUGGUAUUUAUGCCCUGUUCCCCCAUUAACUGCUUUCCCUAAGUUCAUUUCUGCUAUAUUGGUUUGCCGAGACGUUCGGUAUUAGAAUUCGGAGUGUGUUGGGAGAGCUUAAGUGUUGAAAAGUGGUUCGUGAUUGGACCAGUGUGAAGAUGACCUCGGGAUGGAAAUUCGAUGGUUCCGUUAGCUCUGUUAGGUGAUUUCGAGGUUGGAGCGUGUUCGAAAUAUAUUUUGGAUGUCCAUAGCUCAUUUAGGCUAGAAAUGCCGAAAGUUAGAAUUUGGAGGUUUCAGGGUCGGAACGGGAUUCCGGAAGUUGUUGUAGCACUGUCAUGUCAAUUGGGACGUGCGUGCAAAAUUUCAAGUCGAUCGGACGAGUGUUGGUUAGGUUUUGGAUCGAAAGCGUGUUUUGGAUGAACUUGAGGUUCUUAGGCUUGAACCUGUGAUUUAAUCGGGUUUCCGGUAUUGUUUUAUAUAUUUUAAGGGUUGGUGCAAGUUUGAAUAAGGUAUUAGGUGGUAUGGGUGUUUUUGGUUGAGGUACAGGGGGCCCCAGGUGUGUUUCGGACGCUCAACGGGUGAUUUUUUGAGUUAGAGAAAAAUUUGCUGCAAGUCUUCUGGUAUUUCCGCUUCUGCGGCUUGGGAACCGCAGAAGCGGCUUGGCAACCGCAGAAGCGAAAGUGAGGCAAGUCAGCUGAUUCUGCAGAAGCGGAAUCGCUUCUGCGAGUGUAUGACCGCGGGAGCGGAAACUGGGGUUUGAUGAGGAGUCGCAGAAGCGGCCCGUGGUACGCAAAAGCGGGACCGCAGAAGCGGAAAUGACUGUUCAGAUAUAGAAGAAACGAGAGUUAACUUUCAAAAGUUGGAAAAUCAAUUGAAAGCUCGGGAGAAGGCGAUUUUGAGUGGGUUUUGAAUAGAAGAUCAUUUGGUAACGUUGCUUUGAUCCUUCCUAGUUAUAUUUCACCAUUAUAUAGUUAAUUGCACCAUUAAAAUUUGAAUUCAAGGUUUAAAAUUGGGAAAAAGUGGUGAAACUUCUUAGACUUAAUUGUUUGAUUUUGAGUGGGCAUUUGACCUCCGAUUUGGGAGAUUUUUAUAUGGUUAGACUCGUGACAGUACGAGGGUUCUGAAAAUGUAUAAAUUAUUCGAUUCCGAGUCGUUGGCCUAAGAGGCGUUUUGGUCAUUUUACCUAUUUUCACGCCUUAGCUUUAAUUUUAAUAAUGAAAUCAGUUGCUUGCAAUGUUAUUUACGUUACGUAAUUGGAUUGAAUAGAUUUGGGCCAUUCAGAGUCGGAUACUCGUGGCAAAGGCAUCGUUGCUUAGUUGAUUUUGCACCGGUUCGAGGUAAGUGGCUUGUCUAACUUUGUGUGAGGGGCCUCUCCCCUUAGGAUAUAUUAGUUGUUAUUAAAUGCCCGGUACGCGAAGUGACGAGCGUGUACUUGUGCUAGUUGUUGAAAAUCUGUUUUACUUAGAAUAUAUAACCGUGUUUUCUUGCGAAUUUGCCUAUUCUAAAUGCAAUUUAACUUGUGUUAGCUUAGGAUAAGCAUGUUUAGCUGAUUUACUUGCUUAAUUGCCUAAACUGUAUUAUCUGUCCUCCGUGAAGCAUGCUAGACUAGAAAUUCUAUUAAUUGUUCUUACUUAGCAUUUUACCUUAUUUGAAUUGUUGUGGUGUUACCAUUUGGGACAACGGGACAGUAUCCCGAUAACUCCCCUUGCAUGUGUUUCGUUCUAUGACUGAGAGUGCGGGAUACCAAAAGAUCCCUGGCACAGAUAUGAUUACAGAAAGGGAGGAUACCAGGAGAUCCUCGGGAUACUAAGAGAUCCCUUGUGUAUAAUGGAGGAUACUAGGAGAUCCUCGGGAUACUAGGAUCUCCCUCGAGUAUAUGAUGCAGAUACCAGGAGAUCCUCGGGAUACCAGGAGAUCCCCGGUGAUAAAUAUCCGGUGGUGAUUUGCACUUCUAUUUAUUUACUGUGUUAGUUCUCGGUUACUGUCCUAUUUAUUAUUUUGCUAGAUUCUCACAGUAGAUUAUAUCCAUAUUAUCUUUUCCUUAUCAUAUUGAUUAUCAUGUUUUUACCUCAGUAGGGCCUCGACCUUACUCGUCACUACCCAACCGAGGUUAGGCUUGGCACUUACUGAGUACCGUUGUGAUGUACUCACGCCUCUUUUGCGCAUGUUUUUCAUAUGCAGACCCAGGUACUUCUUCUCAGGCGUAUCACCCUCACAGGGGAGAGCACUAGUGGAGACUCGAGGUAUACCUGCUACGUCCGCAGACCCGAAGUCUCUAUUUCAUUCUAGAUGUACUAGAUAGCCCCUUUUCCUUCUAUUAUGUUGCUUUAGUUACUCUGGUGUAGAGCGUAUUAUGCUACUCUUUUAGCCUGUGUUGCCCGUGGGAUUCCGGGUCUUUGGGAUGGUUUCAGAAAUUCUAAGUGUUAAAGUGUAUGUGCCAGGCAGCAGCUGUAUACAUUACUCAUGUUAUUUAGCUUUUGAUUAUAAAUUUCUUAAAUGUUAUUACUUCCGCAAUGUGUUAGGCUUACCUAGUCAUAAAGACUAGGUGCCGUCAUGACAUGUUCACCAUUGGUGAACUAGGGUCGUGACAAUACAUAUAUUAUAAUUCACCAUAUGACUAUAUAUUAUUUAAUACAGGUCAAAUAACUAAAUGCUAUAACCAACACAAAAUCAAUAAGGCAUACUAAACAAGCAAUAUUAAAUUUUUGACAAAUAAGGCAAUCGAGGUCAAAUGCAAAAAGGAGAAUACAGAGAGAAACAAAUGCAACAAGCAGAGAAACUAAACAACAUAUAAUAUGCUGUAUAAGUUUAUACUCUUAGGUGAUGUUUGGUGGGAGUAGUGGAGAAAAUAAUCUACCCACGUAAAAAAAGUUAACAUUGUUAAUAAAAUGUUUGGUUUCCCUUUUCCUUUUCACAUAAAAAUUAGCAUUAUUUUAUACAAUGUUUGAAUCCACUUAUACGCAUUAUUUUAUGCAAGAUAAAACAUAGAGAAAGAAUGCAGGGAGGGAUUAGCAAUGCACAGAUUAAAACUGUUAAAUGACAAAAAUAACCCUUCAUGUAGUAACCAAUAGUAUUUUAUUUUGUUAAAAGAAAAAAAAGAAUAUUUUAACAUAUACACUAUAUAAUAAAUGUUAAUACAAACUCAAUAUCCAGUGAAAAAUAAUUCUUACAUUACAACCCAUGUUUCCGAGACAAAGCCUGGGUCGUCGAACUAAAGAAUCUCAGCCCGACUUCUAUGUCAGCCGGGAAUAACGGUUCUGUAACACGAUCCCUGCAUUACUAAUCCUUGCAUAACUUGCUUAUAAUAGACAAGAGGGGUUGCUCUGAUGGUAAGCAACUCCGACUUCCAACCGAGAGGUUGUGAGUUCGAGUCUCCCCAAGAGCAAGGUGGGAAGUUGGAAGGAUGCCGGGGGUCUAUUUGGAAACGGCCUCUCUACCUAAGGGUUGGGGUAAGGUCUGCGUACACACUACCCUCCCCAGACCCCACUAAGUGGAAUUAUA